rnacentral:rRNA from 1 species
GACAGAGGGUGCGAACGUUGUUCGGAAUUACUGGGCGUAAAGCGCAUGUAGGCGGCCGCGCAGGUCGGGUGUGAAAGCCCUGGGCUCAACCCAGGAAGUGCACUCGAAACCGCGCGGCUCGAGUCCCGGAGAGGAAGGUGGAAGUUCUUGGUGUAGAGGUGAAAUUCGUAGAUAUCAGGAGGAACACCGGCGGCGAAAGCGGCCUUCUGGACGAGGACUGACGCUGAGAUGCGAAAGCGUGGGGAGCAAACAGG